ensembl:lncRNA
GUCUACCAACUCUGUCUCAAGAAAAAAAACAUUUUUAAUAAAAAUAAAAACAACAAUAACAAAGAGCGAGUGAAGACGCACAUCCACUCCCAGACGUGCCAGGCCCCUACCCGGGCCGAGGCUGGGGGGCAGUGGGCUCAGGUGGGCUUCUGGGGCCCAGGCCUGGGGGACAGAGGUGGCCUCCCCUGGGGGCUGCUCAGGGGGGUGGCAGGGACAGCUGGAGCCCCCGGACGUGGUCACAGGCCCAUCUGCUCCAUUGACAAGGUGGCCGCUGGUCGCCACGACGACGCUCCUGGACCCAGAAGAACGUGCUGGAGACAAGGGGAGAGCCUGCAGUCACCCCCGGCUCCGCCCCCAGGAUGGCCGCCUCUGACGCAAAGGAAGUGUCACACACGUGCUCGUGGGCAGGCACGCACAGACCCGUGGCCACACGCGGGAGGAGCCAGACACCCACGGGGACUGCACACACCGGAGGGGCUCACACCAAGGGGCAGACCAGACACCCACACGGCGAGGGCACACGCGCACCCGCCCAGGCCAGACCCAGACAGACCCCACGGGAGGCCCCCCACCCAGAGGCCAGACACGGACCAGGCAGCCAGCAUCCCCUGGGAGGCCACAUCAGACCUCACCGUUCACCCGCGGUCCCAGAACCCGCCCUGUGCAGGCCCCCAGCGAGUGUGUGCACGGUGUGUGCGUGUGUCUCUAUGUGUGUAAAGAGAGACCACCUCCGAGGCCUGAGCCCUGUUCCCACAGGGCAGUGACCCCGCCUCCCCCCCACCAAGCCCCGGCUCUCAGCCCAGGACGCAGGCCUCCAACCACAGCUCGCCCCUCUUACCUGGAGAGAUGGGGGGAUGGAUGCAGAUACCAGCGGGACACCCCGUUGCCUUCAGCGCCGACAGCAGCUGGGAAGGCCCGCCGCGGAGUGGGCAGCGCCCGGACCACCACCUCGACGCCCAGGCCUGGGGCAGCCCCACCGCCAUCGCGGCCAGGUGAGGCUCAGGGGUCGGCGGGGCAGGGGGCAUCUUCCCAAAAGGAGUCCUAGACAGGGAUUCUCAAAGCGAGGUCCCAGAACCUCUCAGGGGAUCCAGAGAACAAACGAUCAAAACUACUUUCUUGAUGAUAGUAAGAGAUUUGCAUUUUUCACUCUCACUUUCUCGCAGGCAGGUGUUCCACGGAGUUUUCCAGAGGCUACGUGAGGCGUGAUCUCGCGAGAGCUUCAAAGCCCUGGCAGGUGUGAUAACCCAGCUGGCCUUGUGUUAACCUCACUCAAGAGAGCUGCGAAGUGAAACACAAGGCCACUCUUUGGGCUGCUUUGCUGGUUUUAAGACAGAGCUAUUUUUCAUUAAAAAAAAGUGCAUUAUUCCUGUGAGUACAGUGAGUUCGUUGUCAUGAAGCAACGAAUGCAUAAAGACCUCUGUUUUUUCUCAGCUUUAAUUUCCAUCGCUGCAAAUGUCGAUAUACACAUACACAACAGCUCUGGGCCUGCAAUGAUUUUUUAAACGCUAAGGGGCCCUGAGACCCCCAGUGUCUGAGACCUGCUGCCUGAGACACGUGGCUAAUGAUUGAUUACAGCUCCUCUGCGCACCCAGCCUCAGUGGAGGACACACACAGGGAGCGCGUAUUGAGUCCUUUCGGCGCCCAGCCCCCAGCUAAAGGCUUUACAAGGUCAUCUCAGGGAAUCCUCACACCAGCCUUAUGCGGGCGGUAAUGUCAAGGCCGAGGAGGAAACCCAGGCUGAGCUCAAAACUUGGGCUCUCCUGACUUGACGGUCCUGACGAAUGGGAUUCCACGGCCCUCAUGCUCCCCGGAGGAUCUGCAGGAAUAACAAUGCCAGGGGCUUAUCCGCGUUGUGUGUCUAAUGCCCCGACUGGCUCACUGCACGGUCGCAGCAAUCCGGUGACCAGGCACCGCUGCUGCCCUGCUGGCGGCACAGAUGGGUGGGACACUUGCCCGGGGAGCCCCGGGUGGUAGGCAGGCUGUGAGCUGGGCCCCACUGGUUCCUGGUCUCUGCCUCUGAGAGUUGGAAGGUUCCAGCCACCCCAGCCCAGCGGCCAGCUUGACCCCGAGGAAGGCUGGCGGCUCAGCGCCUGGCCUCUCUGCUCGGUUUGGGCCCAGGCUGAGCUAGGGUGCCAAGUUCAAGGGUCUUUGCUCAGGCAGUCAGGUGGGUGCGGCUCCGGUGCUCAGAAAAGGGCUGGGCUCCUGGUUGCUAUGAACCCCUCGACAUGCCCCCAGGCCCGGGU